ACGUCCAUGGUGAAGUGGUUAUCAUGCUUGCCUUCCAUCACAGAUGCCCAGCAAGCGGGACGGGUUCGAUUCCCGUUGGGCGUA